rnacentral:lncRNA from 1 species
AAAAAAUAUGUUUUGAUUCCCUUUAGAUCACAAAGAAAACAAGCCAACAUGUGACAUUGUGUAGCUAGCUUAUGACAAAAGUACUCACAGUGUAAAUGCUCAAAGAGUGAUCCAUUUGGAGCAUACUCAAAGAUCAAGAUCCUAGCGAAAGGUUCCUUUUCUUCACAAUACCCAAGAAGGUUUGCAAAAUUCUUGUGGUUGAUCUUCGAUAACAUUUCGAUCUGAAAUUGUGAAACAGAACACGCUAAAGUCGACUAUAUAUUGUUAUUAUAAGAAAUCAAAAAUGGGAAGAACCAUACCUUCUUCCUAAAGUGAAUUUCUGUAUUGUCCUUCCAGUCUUUGGCAGAGGUAGUAGCAAAAGAAGCAACAGCAAUCUCCACUCCACUUGAUAAUGUUCCUUUGAACAAUUUCCCAAUGGGGCAAGAUCCAAUGACAUUACUAAAAUCUUCACAUGCAGCUUCAAUCUCAGAUCUUUUAAGUACAGGUAUACCUGAGCAUCAAAAAAUCACACAUUGAUGAAACCAAAGUAAGUGCACUAGCCAAAACAUUCUAUGUUAUGUAACAAUUUAAGAAAGGAAAUUACCAGUAACGAAUACUUUCUGAGUUGUCCACUAAGACCAGUACGCCAAGGAUUCACAGUUUUCCCGGCCUUACUAGUGAAAAAGUAGAGACCGGUAGCUACAAGGAGAAGAAAAAAGGCACCGCCUACGCAGCCAACUACUAAAGGAACAGCCACUGAAGAAGAAUGAGCGUUUCUUGGAGUGGAAGGAUUUACAAGUGACACAGAAGGUGAAGGUGAAACAUCUUGUGUAGAUGAUCUCUUUUGUGGCUCUGGAACUGUUGAAGAUUUAGUUGAAACAUGUUUAGGAGAAGGUUGUGGUGACGAUGAUGGUGUUAUAGUUGCAGCCACAACACGGUUUUUGCGGUCUUUUCUCGAAGGUAAAUCUUUGUAAGGGUAACGGACAAGUGUUUUCCUGUGAAAUCCAAAAGCUUUCCUAUCAAAAGGUAGAAAACGAAAUUGAAGCCAUUGCCAAAACAUGCUCUAAAAUAAAGAUCAAAAUAUAGUAAGUUACAGUAUAUAGUUUAUAAGCAUGAUUAAGUGUCGGUUACAAAUUGUGAAAUAAAUUUGUAGAUCUCUACCAACCCCGUUGGCCGUUGGGACUUUGAUGCUAUAGAUGAGUUCUAUAAAGGUGAUAUGCCAGAUUGGCCAUCGAAUGAUGAUAAGUUACAGUUCUAUGAGGUGAGGUGUUACUUUGACUCAUCUUCUUUGAUGAUAAGUUUCAAUUUCUUUUGAUUCAUCUUCUAUGAGCUCGAGGUGAUCUGUUUUGACUUGUCUUUCUUCAACUAACUUUAGAUGUUUAAAAAUGUAUAGGUGAAUGAAUCAGAGUUGCGAGACAAUGAAUGGCUUCAUCUAUAUGCUGAAGUUGCAUUGUUCUCCGAGUGGGAAUCUGACAUGGUGAGGAUAUUAAAAGCAUAUAGAUAUGUGAGCUUAGGACAUUCUUUUCUCAAGUCGAGCAAUGCAAUCUUCUACAUGAGUUUCAAGGUUCGUGAAGGUCCCGAUUGCAGAGGUAUAAUAAGAAAAACAAGUGAUGGAAGAACAGGACAUAUGCGCCUUGAAGCUAGAUGUUGGAUCGACAAGUAAAUACGAUGGUGGCUAGUAUUUCGAUAUUUUGUGGAUUAUCUUGCAAUGUUUAAGUAAUUUACGGCAUGAUUCAUUUAUUUAUGCAUGGUAAUAAUAUAGUUACUUAACUUGAAGAGGACAAGAAACUUGGAUUUUACUAGAUAACUACAAAAGACACGUAUAAAACUCAGCUUUUGUUGGUGAAUGGCUCUCUUCUUACGCCGUAGACAAGACCUCCAAUUCUGGCCACCAAAGAGGUGAGAACUUAGACGUUGCAUCGUUAGCCGUGAUUUCCCAUAACCAACCGUGACUUCUUGCAUUCUCGAUCUUCUUAUUAUAAGAUUCUAGUGUUGGCCAGAGUGUCUCUCCUAUUAAAAAAUCAACCAGGCCCCUAUCUACCGAGUCGAGUUUGUUAACCGAUUCCGGGAGUUUCCCGGUUAUCAUUUCAAAUAAUAAUAAACCAUUUUUGUCAAUUAGGCCUGUGAGCUUUUCUUUUAAAAAAAAAAAAUAGUGAUUUUGAAUUUGGAUUUAAAUAUUGACUCAUAAAUCUUAAUUGAACCGGGUUGUGACAUGCUUAACCCGGACUCGGUUAUAUGGGCGAUUCCCGUUUGAACCGGUCGGUGUUAAAUCACUAUUCAUUUGUCUUAACCAUCAUUGAUUGAUUUGGGGUUAAAAAGGAAAUUGGGGUCUAUUUACAUUAAACCUAAAAAAAAAUCAAUUGGGAAUAGACAAACCCUUGUCGGCUUGUCGUGUCCGUCCAGCAAAACUUAUCAGACUCUCCCAAUCAGUUUGGAAGUAGAAGACGACUGUUCACCGGAAAGAUGUAUGAUGUGAUGUUGGAUGAAGCGAACUUGUGGUUUCACGAAUACGAACCUCCUCUCCGUAGGCGGAAGAUCGAAGAAGCUCCACCUUCACCUGUGGAAGACCUUUAUUUCUCCGACGAAGAAGACAUGAGUCCCGAGGAACGCGAAAAGUAUCGUCUUCAAGUUGUUGAGUCCUGUGUAAUUCUCUUUUAACUCUUUUCAAGUUUUGACGCUUACAAGAUUUGUGCUUUCGUAUCAUACAAUUGAUUUUUGGAUUUUGGUAAUUAGGGAUUCGAUGUUGAUUUCUUCAAGCAUACGUUUAAUGGGAUAAUGCCAAGUGGAUGUUGUCCCUAUGACACACUCUUCGCAAAGGCAGGACUCCAUUGUUACAAUCUUGAAAAGGUUUACUCUUUUCUUUUCUCUUUGAUAUUACUCUCUCCUCCUUGUGAGCUACUAUUGUAGAAUGUUGAUAUUCGUCACUGGUCAUUGUUUCUACCUUGUAGGGGAAGAACUUACAGUUCAAGACUGUAGUAAAAGUUAACGCCGAAAUCGGUUCCCUUUACAAUUCCUAUUCAACAUCUGAGGUGAUGGAUCCGGUUAACAACUCUCUUCACACUUUCCAAACUUUAGUCACGGAUGCAGGGAAGAUGAACAAAGCGCGCUUGAUACUUGUCACAAAAAUAUGCAGACUUAAGCCUCAAGUACCAGGUGUGGAAAGACUUUCAUGACUUGGUUUGUAAUUUGUCAUUAACGUUGCCAUGAAGAUUAUCAUACGCUUGUAAAACAUGGUUAAUCAUUUGGACAUGUUUUAGGCAUUGGAGAUGCAAAUGGCCGUUGGGACUUUGAUGCUAUAGAUGAUUUCUAUAAAGGUGAUAUGCCAGAUUGGCCACCGAAUGGUGCAUGUACUAAAGGUGAUAAGCUACUACAGUUCUAUGAGGUGAGGUGUUAGUUUUUUACUCAUUUAAUACAUAAUGUAAUCCAUCUUUAGUGUUUUUGCUUGUAUACAAGAUUAUCUUUUUUUCCAACUAAUUUUAGAUGUUUAAAACUGCAGGUGAAGGAAUCAGAGUUGCGAGACAAUGAAUGGAUUUCUCUAUAUGCUGAAGCUGCAUUGUUCUCCGAGUGGCACUCUGACAUGGUGAGGAUAUAAUAGCAUAUAGAUAUGUGAACAUAGGACAUCCAUUUCUCAAAAAACCUUUUUUUAAUUUGCAGAGUGCUUAUACACCAUUUGAGAUGAAGAAAGUAGUGGUACAAACAAAAGAAGAUGUAGACUCGAGUAUGAAGCUCAAGUCGAGCAAUGCAAUCUUCUACAUGACUUUCAAGGUUCGUGAAGGUCCCGAUUGCAGAGGGAUAGUAAGAAAAACAAGUGAUGGAAGAACAGGACAUAUGCGCCUUGAAGCUAGAUGUUGGAUCGACAAGUAAAGCUGAUAAUGACCAGUAAUCUGAUUUUGUGUGGUCUUUUUUUUAUGUAUUGAUCUUGCUAUGUUUAAAUGGUAUCUAUCUAUGGCAGAAGUAGCAAAGUUCGCACUACUUGUUUCCCUCUGGAUUUUUUUUUAUAAUUAAAAUGCUCUAUUUAAGAUGUGCGCUUUUAUCAACUAUCUUAUAUCUUGUUUCAAGGAAAUUACUUUGAUGUGCAAACACUUGAUGCGAUGAGAUAAACUAAAAGUGUUUUGCAAACGAUGCAGACAGUUGUUAGUAGCAAAAGACAAAAUCAAACUCUUGUUUUCACUUCACAAACACAGACUCAGUUGAGUUUACUAGCUCCAUGCCUUUUCUUCCGCCUCUCUUCCUCUUCCCGUGAGAGUAAUCUCGGAUAGCUGAAUCUUCUGAGCAAUGGACUUGGUUCAGCAAAGUAGGUAUUCGCCUUAGUGUUAAUCUCUUCACCCGGAGUGGGUACAUAAACAAGCAUAAUAUCUAUUGAGAUCUUCAUGUAACCGUUUUUUCCAAACUUAUCGCCAUGACUUGAUCUCGCCACUACGUAUUUUUCCCCAUUCUCCUCAUCUGCUGCUACUAGUGAAACGGCAUGCAGUCCAACGAGCCUUGACCUUUGAAGUACAGGCCCUCGAUAGAUCUUCAAACAAAAAACCAAACCAAUAUUAGCUUGCAUGAUAAAUUUAACACUGCAAAACAACGCAUAACUUACAUUUUCUCCAAUUUCAUUGUACUCUGGGAAAAACAUUGCCACAGCAGCUCCGAUGGGUUGGUGCUUAAGUUGGAGAAGCGCUUCCUCGAUUGUAUCUAUUCUCUUGAAGUCUUUGAUGUACCCUAAUCCCGAUAAGACACGAUCAGGAAUAUAUUGAGGACAUCCCGUGAAUGGUCUAUCUUCUUCUCUUUGAAUCCCAUUUUCCAUUACGUAACGCAUUCCUCUGUUGAUGCUUGAGGUGUAGCAGUAGUGACCGUCAUUGCGAACUUGUCUUCGCUGCACCGGAUCUGUAAAAUCAAUCAAAUCUUGCACAGAGUACUCUAUGUUAGGAUCUGUGUCACGACCGUUAAUCAAUCUCACUGCCCUUAUAAGAUCUCUUGCAACGACAGCCCAGCAAAUAUCUGAAAACAUACGAAAACAAACUUCGUUAACUAAAUUUUUUGUUAAGAAAAAUGUUAUAUGUUUUGUUCUUACCGUGAUCUAGUUGGUUUGCCACUAUCCCCAUAAUGAUUGCCCAAUCCACAUCAUCUAAGCAAACGGGAAAGAUCUGUACCUCAAAACAAAUAAGAAUUAUAAACAUAAAUUCAUCUAAAUUUCAUUACUAUUAACAAACGUACGAUAAAAUCUUAUACCCUGCGUUUGAUAUACGAUGCAAAUCUCACAUGCUUGAUAUCUCCACUUGAAUCGUCAAUGUAUUCGGUGACUUUAACUUUGGAAUCAGGUUUAGUUCUCAUUAUGCUUAAUAAAAUAUCAUGCGGAACGAUACGAAAGACCUCAGCCACUAAUGGUUGAAGUUGUGGGUCAGUCAAUGCUAAAAUCUGCUCAAAUAUGGGUAACAUUUCGUCAGGAACAGCAGCAAGCACCUGAAAAACAUCACAUUCGAAAUCCAAGAUUAAGAAUAAAACCGUGAAAGAUUAAGUGAGAUUUUAUACAGACAAUCAAGACCAGAAACAAAGACCAAACAUAUCUAACUAACUAUGUCUCUUCCAUUACCAAAGUAAACUUAACUACACCACAAAAAUCAACUUUUAUUAUCAUAUACUUACUACAUCACAUUCGAAAUCCAAGAUUUAGAAUGAACCCGUGAAAGAUUAAGUGAGAUUUUAUACAGACAAUUAAGAGCAGAAGCAAAGACCAAACAUAUCUAACUAUGUCUCUUUCAUCACCAAAGUAAACUUAAUUACACAACAAAAAUCAACUUUUUAUUAUCAUAUACUUACUUCUGCAGGUGUAGUGUCUGAGCUCUCACCUCUUUGUGCCAUAUUUGAAGUUAGGAUCUGCAUUUUAAAUUUUAGCAAAAACUUAGCAGACAAGUUUCAAAAAGACAAACAGAGUAAACCAACAGUUUCCAUUUAAGAAGUAAUACAAAAAAAAAACUAAGGACUACUUGUAGACAUAUAUAGAACAACAUAACAGAAAUGAACAAGGUAAGUUUCUUACUAGCCAGAAAGGCAGAAACCACUAGAAUCUUGUAACUUAAUUUCUCUGUUCUCCAAAACUCUCUUCCUUUUAAACGUCAAAAGUGAGAUAAAAUGUUUCUGUGUUCUAACUCUAGAGGGAAACUUGUCACUAUAAAGAUUGCAGAGUUACAUAAUGUCUUUACGCUAUAAAUUUUUCCUUCUAGUUAUCUGCACCCAUUGAACACAACAUUGACCAUUAACACUAAUAUGGGGAGAUAUACAAUAUCUACUCAUCUUACUUCUGAAUCCACUCCUUACUAAAUAUAGAAAUUUCAGAAGCAACUUUAACUUUUUGACCCAUCACAGUUAAUUAUUUCGUUCGUAAAUGUUUUUACUCUCCUUAUUUUUAUUGGAUGUCAAUUUUUUUUUUCCUUUAGCCUUUCGCUCCACAAUCAACUGAUUCAAAAGGAAAAGAAAAAAAAAAAAAGUAUUUGCCAAGUUAUUCACGAAUAAAAUAUCUCUUCAAGCAUGAAUAAAAUAUUUUUGCACACUUAUAUUCUUAAAGUAUUUGGCAAUUUCUCCUCUAUCAUUUUGCUACAUAAUAACACUGAACAAAAGAAUGCAUUCAUAUAGAAGAAGAAGGAUAUAAUUUUUACAAGAUUGUUUCCGACAUGCACACUAAUUCAUCUAUACAUGUUUAUAGAGUUACUUAACUUGAGAGAACUUCAAUUUUGUUUUACCAAUAUUACUAGAGAUAACUAGAAAAGACACUUACAAAACUAACAUCUUCAAAAUAUAUACAGUUUUAUUGGUGAAGGGCCUCUCUUAAGCCGUGGACAAAACCUCCAACUCUGCCCACCAAAGAGGUGACAAUUUCGGCGUAGCAUCAUUCGGUGAUAUUCCCGUGAUCUCCCGUAACCAUCCUGUGACUUCCCGCAUUGUAGGUCUCUCUUUCGGGUCGGUCCUGAGGCAUGAUUUGAUCACUUCACCUAUAUUCUCAAUCUUGUCAUCAUAAGAUUCCAGUGUUGGAUCUACCAUCUUGGCUAGAGUCUCUCCUCUUAAGAAAUCAACCAGCGCGCUAUCUACCGAGUCAGGUUUGUUAACCGAUUCUGGGAGUUUCCCGCUUAUCAUUUCGAAUAAUAGUAAACCGAAGCUGUAAACGUUUUCUUCUGGAUUCAAGACUGAGAUGUUUGUGUCUAUGACUGUGUCGUUGAUGCUAGUCUCUGUCUCAGAUGGACCGAAACUGAAAUCCGAUACUUUGACAGCAUAAUCCUCUGUGAGCUGAAGAGAUGACGAGACGAGAUUGGUGUGAGCUAUAGGUGGAUUGAGUUGGUGCAUAUGGUCAAGGCAAUAUGCUAAUCCCAUUGCAAUUCUUAACCGCAUUCCCCAAUCCAAGUGUUCUGAUUCUUUAACUGUAAUAAAAAAAAUAUGUUUUGAUUCCCUUUAGAUCACAAAGAAAACAAGCCAACAUGUGACAUUGUGUAGCUAGCUUAUGACAAAAGUACUCACAGUGUAAAUGCUCAAAGAGUGAUCCAUUUGGAGCAUACUCAAAGAUCAAGAUCCUAGUGAAAGGUUCCUUUUCUUCACAAUACCCAAGAAGGUUUGCAAAAUUCUUGUGGUUGAUCUUCGAUAACAUUUCGAUCUGAAAUUGUGAAACAGAACACGCUAAAGUCGACUAUAUAUUGUUAUUAUAAGAAAUCAAAAAUGGGAAGAACCAUACCUUCUUCCUAAAGUGAAUUUCUGUAUUGUCCUUCCAGUCUUUGGCAGAGGUAGUAGCAAAAGAAGCAACAGCAAUCUCCACUCCACUUGAUAAUGUUCCUUUGAACAAUUUCCCAAUGGGGCAAGAUCCAAUGACAUUACUAAAAUCUUCACAUGCAGCUUCAAUCUCAGAUCUUUUAAGUACAGGUAUACCUGAGUAUCAAAAAAUCAAACAUUGAUGAAACCAAAACAUAUUAUGCCAUGUAACA